rnacentral:rRNA from 1 species
GCGACCAAUUCGGGGUCGGGCACAGAUAGGUCUUUCUGAUGAGUUGAAGAGACGACAGGGUGCUUGUCUUGGUCGGGCGAGUGGAGAGAGAAGGGGGGUUCUUGUCUCGUGCCGGCGGCAGCGGAGCUAGACGGGGCAGGUCCGUAGAGGCCGCUGUGCUGCCUGUGGAUGUCUAAGGGGAGCAGAGGGAGAUGGUAAAGGGGGAUAAAUAAACUCGGCAGCGGCGGUUUUUGUAGCGGUGGUGAGUUAGGAUCGCGGCGGACUUGGUGCAGGCCACCCGAACGGUGGCCGGCGUCACCGUUGCUGCAGAGGUACGGAUGUAGGAGGGGGGUCGCGUCGGUGUGCGUGUUCCGCACGUCGGUACCCGCAGCCCGCACACGCCGAAGUGGCCGCGACGAGCCAACGGUACCGAAACGACGAUUGCCACACCUCAUCGGUGUAGGAUAACGAUGAUGACCAUUUAUCUAGUUCCACUUAUCUACGAAUACCUGACUAAGUUUGGCUCCACCUCUAUCUAUUCUUUAGUUCGUUCUUCCCGAUUGUGUUGUUCCAUGAACUAAUCAUGGACCACCGUGUACGUUGGGUUUCUCGAAGUGUUGUCCCCUCCUAUCGUCACACCGUCUUCCACUCUUCCGUCUCGCAAAAGAGGUCGCCUACUAACACACACCGGUGUCACUUUCCCUACCGAGGAUAAAUAUCACCCCACUUAUCGAUACAGCCAAACCUCUCCGUAAUGUAGACCGUACGUACGCACCAAUCAGAACGUACGUACGGAGGUGAACACAGAGAACACCCGACAUGAUCCCUGUUCACAUUAAACGAACCGACCGGUAAUCAACCGUAAAUGAAACACACUUCCUUUACUCUGUUCCCAGAUAUUUUAUAUCCUUCCAAACCUCUUCUUAACAACACGUACUGAUUUACGAUAAACGACAUUAUUUUUAUUAUUAAUUCACAUCAAUAAAGAUAAUAAAAUUAUUUACAAAACCGUUGCGG